UGAGCAACCUACCGAUUUGAGGGGGAUAGCUGGCCUAACGGCCAGGUAAUACCGCAUACGCUCAUAAAGCCUCCUGGCUUAAUGAGGAAACCUCCGGGGCAGAUCGAGGGGCUCGCGGCCUAUCAGCUAGUUGGUGAGGUCAUAGCUCACCAAGGCGACGACGGGUAGCUGGUCUGAGAGGAUGGCCAGCCAUAUUGGGACUGAGACACGGCCCAGACCUCUACGGGAGG
rnacentral:rRNA from 1 species